AUACCUUUCUCGGCCUUUUGGCUAAGAUCAAGUGUAGUAUCUGUUCUUAUCAGUUAAAUAUCUGAGACGUGGGCCAUCGGUCCACAUGAUAUUAAAUUAAUUUUUCCUGGGGGAAGGCCCACUAUAGUAGCUUGCUACUGGGGUUUUUAUUCGUCGUCCAUGCGUUGCACUACUGCACUGGCCGGGCGUACCCCUA
rnacentral:snRNA from 1 species